UCUGGCAAUGAUGAGCCACUUGCCCUCACUGAGAACACAGUUUGGCGAUGAGAAACUUUGUUAUGGACUCAAGUUCUGAGCCAGA